rnacentral:tRNA from 1 species
GGUGCAACUCAGUGGGAGAGCACUUGCCUGAAAUGUACAGGCCUGGGUUUGAUCCCCAGCAGCACUA